AACGAACGCUGGCGGCAUGCCUAACACAUGCAAGUCGAACGAAGUCUUCGGACUUAGUUGCGCACGUGUGCGUAACGCGUGGGAAUCUGCCCUUGGGUACGGAAUCACUCAGAGAAAUUUGUGCUAAUACCGUAUAAUGUCUUCGGACCAAAGAUUUAUCGCCCAAGGAUGAGCCCGCGUAAGAUUAGCUAGUUGGUGGGGUAAAAGCCUACCAAGGCGACGAUCUUUAGCUGGUCUGAGACGAUGAUCAGCCACACUGGGACUGAGACACGGCCCAGACUGGUACGGGAGGGAGCAGUAGGGAAUAUUGGACAAGGGGCGAAAGUCUGAUCAAGCAACGCCGGGGGAGUGAGGAAGGCGGUAGGGUUGUAAAGCUGUUUGAGCAGGGAUGAGAAUGACAGUACCGGGAGAAGAAGCUCCGGCUAACUCCGUG
rnacentral:rRNA from 1 species